GACGAACGCUGGCGGCGUGCCUAAUACAUGCAAGUAGAACGCUGAAGAGAGGAGCUUGCUCUUCUUGGAUGAGUUGCGAACGGGUGAGUAACGCGUAGGUAACCUGCCUUGUAGCGGGGGAUAACUAUUGGAAACGAUAGCUAAUACCGCAUAACAAUGGAUGACACAUGUCAUUUAUUUGAAGGGGGCAAUUGCUCCACUACAAGAUGGGCCUGCGUUGUAUUAGCUAGUAGGUGAGGUAAUGGCUCACCUAGGCGACGAUACAUAGCCGACCUGAGAGGGUGAUCGGCCACACUGGGACUGAGACACGGCCCAGACUCCUACGGGAGGCAGCAGUAGGGAAUCUUCGGCAAUGGGGGCAACCCUGACCGAGCAACGCCGCGUGAGUGAAGAAGGCUUUCGGAUCGUAAAGCUCUGUUGUAAGUCAAGAACGGGUGUGAGAGUGGAAAGUUCACACUGUGACGGUAGCUUACCAGAAAGGGACGGCUAACUACGUG
rnacentral:rRNA from 1 species